rnacentral:rRNA from 1 species
GCAAGUCGAGGGGCAGCGGGGAUAAGCUUGCUUAUCCGCCGGCGACCGGCGCACGGGUGCGCAACGCGUAUAGAAUCUGCCCUGUACUGGGGAAUAGCCCAGAGAAAUUUGGAUUAAUGCCCCAUGGUAUGUUUAAGCGGCAUCGCUUUUACAUUAAAGGCUACGGUACAGGAUGACUAUGCGUCCCAUUAGUUAGUUGGUAAGGUAACGGCUUACCAAGGCAGCGAUGGGUAGGGGCCCUGAGAGGGGGAUCCCCCACACUGGUACUGAGACACGGACCAGACUCCUACGGGAGGCAGCAGUGAGGAAUAUUGGACAAUGGGCGGGAGCCUGAUCCAGCCAUGCCGCGUGCAGGAAGACGGUCCUAUGGAUUGUAAACUGCUUUUGUACGGGAAGAACAAGGGGCACGUGUGCCCUUCUGACGGUACCGUAAAAUAAGAUCGGCUAACUCCGUGCCACACC